UGCGUAGGUGGCGCCGUAAGUGGGGUGUGAAAUCCCGGGGCUUAACCCCGGGACUGCAUUCCAUACUGCGGUGCUUGAGGACUGGAGAGGAGACUGGAAUUUACGGUGUAGCAGUGAAAUGCGUAGAGAUCGUAAGGAAGACCAGUGGCGAAGGCGGGUCUCUGGACAGUUCCUGACACUGAGGCACGAAGGCCAGGGGAGCAAACGG
rnacentral:rRNA from 1 species